rnacentral:rRNA from 1 species
UUGGAGGGCAAGUCUGGUGCCAGCAGCCGCGGUAAUUCCAGCUCCAAUAGCGUAUAUUAAAGUUGUUGCAGUUAAAAAGCUCGUAGUUGAAUUUCGGGGUUAGUAGGUUGGUCAUGCCUCUGGUAUGUACUGGUCUCACUGAUUCCUCCUUCCUGAUGAGCCGUAAUGCCAUUAAUUUGGUGUUGCGGGGAAUUUGGACUGUUACUUUGAAAAAAUUAGAGUGUUUAAAGCAAGCUAACGCUUGAAUACAUUAGCAUGGAAUAAUGAAAUAGGACGUUCGAUCCUAUUUUGUUGGUUUCUAGGAUUGACGUAAUGAUUAAUAGGGAUAGUUGGGGGCAUUAGUAUUCAAUUGUCAGAGGUGAAAUUCUUGGAUUUAUUGAAGACUAACUACUGCGAAAGCAUUUGCCAAGGAUGUUUUCAUUAAUCAAGAACGAAAGUUAGGGGAUCGAAGACGAUCAGAUACCGUCGUAGUCUUAACCAUAAACUAUGCCGACUAGGGAUCGGAUGAUGUUAAUUUUUUAAUGACCCAUUCGGCGCCUUACGGGAAAC